UUAAAAGUAACUCCUGCUCAAUGAUUUAAUUAAUAGCCGCAGAUUUGUCUGUGCUAAGGUAGCACAAUCACUUGCCUUAUAAUUCAAGGAUCGUAUGAACGGAAGCCCGAAUUUUAAACUGUUUCAAUAAUUUAAAUUAAAAUUCACACUAAAGUUAAAAUUCUUUUACCAACAAAAAAGACGACAAGACCCUGCUGAACUUUACUAAAGUUACGCUGGGGUGGCCAUAUUAAAAAAAUCUUAAUAACUACCCAUCAACCAAACUUAACAAAAAUCUACAAGUUACCACAGGGAUAACAGCAUAAUUAUUUUUUACAGCUCUUAUUAAAAAAAUAGAUUGUGACCUCGAUGUUGAAUUAAGAUAUCUACAAUAAAUUUUAAUCGCAAAAGAUUUGAAAGAAAGUCUGUUCGACU
rnacentral:rRNA from 1 species